UACGUAGGGUGCGAGCGUUGUCCGGAAUUAUUGGGCGUAAAGAGCGCGUAGGCGGCCAUUCAGGUCAGCUGUGAAAACUCGAGGCUCAACCUCGAGACGUCGGUUGAAACCGUUUGGCUAGAGUCCGGAAGAGGAGAGUGGAAUUCCCGGUGUAGCGGUGAAAUGCGCAGAUAUCGGGAAGAACACCCGUGGCGAAGGCGGCUCUCUGGGACGGUACUGACGCUGAGACGCGAAAGCGUGGGGAGCGAACAGG
rnacentral:rRNA from 1 species